UACGUAGGGGGCUAGCGUUGUCCGGAAUCAUUGGGCGUAAAGCGCGUGUAGGCGGUCCGGUAAGUCCGCUGUGAAAGUCGGGGGCUCAACCCUCGGAUGCCGGUGGAUACUGUCGGGCUUGAGUACGGAAGAGGCGAGUGGAAUUCCUGGUGUAGCGGUGGAAUGCGCAGAUAUCAGGAGGAACACCGAUGGCGAAGGCAGCUCGCUGGGACGGUACUGACGCUGAGGCGCGAAAGCGUGGGGAGCGAACAGGA
rnacentral:rRNA from 1 species